rnacentral:rRNA from 1 species
UAAUAUUCCCGUACUUGGUGUUACUGCGAAGGGGGGACGGAGAAGGCUAUGUUGGCCGGGCGACGGUUGUCCCGGUUUAAGCGUGUAGGUGUGUGUUCCAGGUAAAUCCGGUUCACUUUAACACUGAGGCGUGAUGACGAGGCACUACGGUGCUGAAGCAACAAAUGCCCUGCUUCCAGGAAAAGCCUCUAAGCAUCAGGUAACAUCAAAUCGUACCCCAAACCGACACAGGUGGUCAGGUAGAGAAUACCAAGGCGCUUGAGAGAACUCGGGUGAAGGAACUAGGCAAAAUGGUGCCGUAACUUCGGGAGAAGGCACGCUGACAC